rnacentral:rRNA from 1 species
UACGUAGGGUGCAAGCGUUAAUCGGUAUUACUGGGCGUAAAGCGUGCGCAGGCGGUGAUGUAAGACAGAUGUGAAAUCCCCGGGCUCAACCUGGGAACUGCAUUUGUGACUGCAUCGCUGGAGUGCGGCAGAGGGGGAUGGAAUUCCGCGUGUAGCAGUGAAAUGCGUAGAUAUGCGGAGGAACACCGAUGGCGAAGGCAGCCCCCUGGGCCAACACUGACGCUCAGGCACGAAAGCGUGGGGAGCAAACAGG